UUCCCAUCUGCCCCUCCAGGCAACCCUCAGGAGAAUGCACUGCCAUCGUGAAGAGGAAGUAAGGCCUGUGUCAGCGUGAUCAUCGUCACUGUCACCUUCCCUUUUCUCCCCGCGGAGGCCACCAGAAGCACGCUCGGGUCACCAACAUCUCCACAGGGGCUGAUUGGGAAGAAUUUCCAACAGUGGUACUGGUAACUGGCAGUGGCGGUACAGGGACCCCCCGUGAUUGGAAGAUACAGGCGUGAGGCUGACUUCUAGGAGCGCGGUACUGGCCUCUCAAGGAUUUGGGGCAAAGAAAACAGAAGGAGAGAAAACAUUCUCCCUCCUGUUUUUCUUGGAGCCUGAAGGGAAGACAAAUUCUUAUCUUCUCGUUCCCACCCUCCUCCGCCUUGUCUUCCCAGGGGGCCUUCACAGUCCCUAAAUCCUUCACAACAGAAUCGGCUCCCAGAGGACAGGGGAGAACUGCAGCCUGCCCUUCUCAUAGCCUGUCAUUCAUUCUGGAUCUCUUUCUCAUCACCUUCCUUCCAGUUCUAAUUUAAUCCCUGGUGCCUCUCUUCCCGAAUGACAAAACCAGAUGAAAAUCAGGAAGAAAGGACAUUUCUGCAGAGGUGAGAGCCAGGUGCUUUGGAGACAUCGCUCUGUCCUCCAAGGAUGAGGUGGCGAGGGCUUCUGUCCUCCACGUCCAUGUAGCCCCCGUGGAUUCCAAGCCAUCUUGCUGUUGCCAUAGAAACUCCACCCAGCCUGCUUGCUGCACAUUUACACCAGUCAUAUCGGAUUAAGGGCCAACCCUGCUCCAGUGUGACCUCAUCUAACAUCCAUCUUAGUUAUACCUACGAAGACCUCAUGUCCGCCUACACAGCUGGAAAGACUCAUGCUGGAUGUUAACACAGCAAAGGAGCACUCCAAACUGGAAGAAGAGGCGACUGACAUGCCGACACGCCGCUGUGAGAACUGCAGUGGGGGACAGUU